UUUCUUCUUUUCGUUUCCCCUCUUUAUAUCCAAAUUCCCCCCUUCCUUUCCUCCCCUUUGUUUCUUACCAACUCAAAUCUCCAAUCUCCAAUCCCUAAUCCCUUAAACAAAAAAAUCCCCGAUUUCAAAAAUCUCCAAAAUACUGUACCAUCUCUCUCUCUCUCUCUCUCUCUCUCUCUCUCUCUCUCUCACGUCUGCAAGCAGCGGCAGUGGCAGCAGCAGCAAGGGGGGACGAUGGCGAGCAGCGAGCGACGACGGUGAGCAGCGAGUGACGACAGCUAGCAGCGGCAGCGGUGGUGCGGCGUCUCAGAUGCCUUUGCCGAUUCAACCCGUCCCUCCGAUUGAGCUAUUAGGUUUUUGCCCCAAAGCGAAAACCCGGCAACGCCGACUGAGGUUAGGGUGUUAUGCGAGAAGGCUAAGGGGAUUCUAAUGGAAGAAAGCAAUGUGACCAUCUUUUGUCUUGACUCUUCCCGAUAGGAAUAAACAAACUUGUCCAAUAUGCCAUAUAAUGUGGAAGUAGUAAAGAGUUCAAAUUGAUUUUUAUUCUUCACUAAUUCUUCACUUUGAUUCUUAUGUUUAUAAAUAUAUUUUUUUGUACUGCUAGUUAUCUGUACUUGAUACACUGAUGCCUCUUGUAUUUUUCUGCACUUAUAACGCACAUUAUCCCAUAGUGAUUAACUUUA